CCAUUUUUAAGGCAGGGGAUUUUUUCAAGGGAAUAAACUAGGAAGCCAUCCUAGGCCUACCUCAGCUUGUCGCAUGGCAGAUUUAGGCGAGUCUUGAAGCAUUUCAUAGACUGUUCCUCAAGAUUUGGAAUAGAUAAAGGUGCAAUUAAUGGCCAUGAAAUUUAACAUUUUGGGUUUGGCUGCAUGGUGUGACCUGAUUAUUGAUC
rnacentral:lncRNA from 1 species